rnacentral:rRNA from 1 species
UAUUGCACAAUGGACGAAAGUCUGAUGCAGCAACGCCGCGUGGAGGAUGACACAUUUCGGUGCGUAAACUCCUUUUAUAUGGGAAGAUAAUGACGGUACCAUAUGAAUAAGCACCGGCUAACUCCGUGCCAGCAGCCGCGGUAAUACGGAGGGUGCAAGCGUUACUCGGAAUCACUGGGCGUAAAGAGCGUGUAGGCGGAUAUAUAAGUCAGAAGUAAAUCCAAUAGCUUAACUAUUAACUGCUUUUAAACUGAUAUCAGAUGUGGGGGAGGAGAUGAAUUUCUGGUGAGGGGAAAAUCCGAAGUCAGAGAAUCCAUUGCAAGGCAUCUCUGGACCUUUAGCGUGAGCCAGAUAGA